GUGUUGUGAUUUCCAGUCGGACUGGCUCCAGUCCUGUCACAGCAGUGCGGGGCGCCUUUUCUCUACGCUGGCGCUCUGGGAAUACUAACUGUUUUCCGAAAACAACCAGCUUCUACACUAACAACUCUUCGUUUUUUUUUCUUUAUAACGACUUGCUCUUGUUCCUGCGACCUUAUAGAAAGACUGCUAGAUACAUUUUGCUAGAGUGGAAGAGCCGUGGAAACAAUAAGAUUCAGACACGGCUGCAGCUGAAGCCUGUUCCAACCCUGAAUGCUUACCUGUUUUGAAGCUGUAAGGCCUGGGGGAAGUUAAUGAGAAGAUUCGAUCAGCUAACACCCCCCACCUCGAUCCUCCACAUCCCUUUGUUCCAACUAUUAUCUUCCUCCUAUGUCAGCGUUGACUUGUGCACUUAA